rnacentral:rRNA from 1 species
UACGGAGGGUGCGAGCGUUGUCCGGAAUCACUGGGCGUAAAGGGCGCGUAGGCGGCGCGGUAAGCGUGCGGUGAAAGCCCGGGGCUCAACCUCGAGCCUGCAGUCGAUACGGGCAGACUAGAGUGCUGUAGGGGAGACUGGAAUUCCUGGUGUAGCGGUGAAAUGCGCAGAUAUCAGGAGGAACACCGGUGGCGAAGGCGGGUCUCUGGGCCGAUACUGACGCUGAGGCACGAAAGCCAGGGGAGCAAACGGG